rnacentral:misc_RNA from 1 species
AACGCACAUUGCGCCCCUUGGUAUUCCGGGGGGCAUGCCUGUUCGAGCGUCAUUAUAACCCUCAAGCCUGGCUUGGUGUUGGGGCAUGCUUCUGCAGCCCUUAAAACUAGUGGCAGUGCCUGUCGGCUCUAAGCGUAGUAAUACUCCUCGCUAUAGUUCCCGGCAGAUAUGCGCCAGAACCCCUAAUUUUCUAUGGUUGACCUCGGAUCAGGUAGGGAUACCCGCUGAACUUAA